AAGUCGUAACAAGGUUUCCGUAGGUGAACCUGCGGAAGGAUCAUUGAUGAAUUCAAGGCGGUGUCAGACCGUGCUGGCCUCUCGGGGCAUGUGCACGUCUGGCAUCAUCUAUCUCACACACACACCCGUGCACACUUUGGAGGCAUGACGUGUUCGUAGGGUUUGCCGGCUUUCGAGUCGGCUCUCUCGGGAGCAAGUCGUCCUUCUACUUUUUCAUACACACCUUUGACGUGUCCCGAAUGUUUUACGAAUGUAACCAAUACAACUUUCAACAACGGAUCUCUUGGCUCUC
rnacentral:misc_RNA from 1 species